UUGUAUGGGAAACCCCCUACUUUUCUUCAUUUAAGGGCUUUUGGAUGUCUUGCUUAUGCCACUGUACCAAUCCCUCAAAGGGACAAAUUGAAGCCUAGAGCUAUCCCUUGUGUUUUAUUAGGCUAUCCUUUUGGCAAAAAGGGAUACAAAUUGUAUGAUCUUAACUCCAAACAUUGUUUGGUCUCCAGGGAUGUUGUCUUUCAUGAAUCAGUUUUUCCUUUUAAAUCUUCUUCUUCUGUUAUUUCACCCUCUGUCCCCCCAUUCCCUCAUAUUCCUUCUGGAGAAGAUGAUGUUAUUCCUGAUUCUCUCAUACCUACUGCUUCCUCCUUACCUUCUGGAGAUAUAUUCCUUCUGGAGAAGAUGAUGACUUCACUGAUUCUCCCAUACCUACUGCUUCCUCCUUACCUUCUGGAGAAAAUGAUGUUAUUUCUGAUUCUCCUUCUUCUAUCCCUCCACCUUCUCCUCCCAUUCUGCCCUCUUCCUCUUCUACUCCUGUCCUCAGAAAAUCUACCAGAACUCAUAAUCCUCCAUCCUAUCUUAAGGACUAUCUAUGUCAACUUCCAGCCUUCUCUGGCUCUUCUUCUUCCUCCUUGGAAUCUGAACCACUGUAUUACUCUCAGGCAGCUUCAGUUCCAGCUUGGCAGGAUGCCAUGAGAAAGGAAUUUGAGGCCCUGGACACCAACCAAACUUGGGAUGUUGUCCAUCUUCCUCCUGGUAAGAAGCCAAUUGGUUG
rnacentral:lncRNA from 1 species